GUAGGAUAUUUGAGGGGAUCUGUCCCUAGUACGAGAGGACCGGGAUGGACGAACCAAUAGUGUUCCAGUUGUCGCGCCAGCGGCAUAGCUGGGUAGCUAUGUUCGGAAAGGAUAACCGCUGAAAGCAUCUAAGCGGGAAGCCAACCCCAAGAUAAGAUAUCCCGCAACUUUAUGUUGCCUGAAGACCCCUCGAAGAUGACGAGGUUGAUAGGCCGGAUGUGUAAGCACAGUAAUGUGUUCAGCUUACCGGUACUAAUAGGUCGUGCGGCUUGGCCACAAAACA
rnacentral:rRNA from 1 species